rfam:Ovis aries breed Texel chromosome 5, whole genome shotgun sequence.
UGGCUCAGAGGUUAAAGCGUCUGCCUCCAAUGCAGGAGACCCGGGUUCAAUCCCUGG